GCAAGUCGAGCGAACCUUCGGGUUAGCGGCGGACGGGUGAGUAACGCGUGGGAAUAUGCCUCUUGGUACGGAAUAGCCUUUGGAAACGAAGAGUAAUACCGUAUACGCCCUUCGGGGGAAAGAUUUAUCGGUGAAGGAUUGGCCCGCGUUAGAUUAGAUAGUUGGUGGGGUAAUGGCCUACCAAGUCGACGAUCUAUAGCUGGUUUGAGAGGAUGAUC
rnacentral:rRNA from 1 species